GGGGUUGUGGCUCAAGUGGUAGAGUGCUGACCUAGCAUGUGUGAGGUACUGGGUUCGAUCCUCAGCACCACA
rnacentral:tRNA from 1 species